rnacentral:snRNA from 1 species
GGAUGUGAGGGCAAUCUGGCUGCGAUAUCUGUUGCCCCAUUGAUCGCCAGGGUUGAUUCCGCUGAUCUGGCUGGCUAGGCGGGUGUCCCCUUCCUCCCUCACUGCCUCACUGGUCCAUGUGCACUCAGUCGAAGAGGAUGGCCUUCCCGGACGGAAUAGAGACAGACUGGUCUUCAGUCUAGGGUAUAGGAGUAGCUGCGUUCCCCUGCUAGAACCUCCAAACAAGCUCUCAAGGAUAAGACAAAAUAUGAUACACAAAAUACUCUUGCAUUUCUAAGAUGCAAACAGUG